AGGAACAGUGGGUGGAGGAGAAAACAUCUCUUCUUCUUGAGUUAAAUCAACUGAAGAUAAAACUGGAAUAUGAAAAGUGUAGAGUUACAGACAUGGAGAAAAUGGAUUCUGAGCUUGUUAAGUGCCCACUGUGCAAUGGGGAAUAUCAGAGACAGAUUUCAGAUGCAAGAGCUGAAAAAGCAGAUGAAUUUGAACACAUCUCAUAUAUACACUAAAAAUACUGAAGAAAACACAUAUUGAGAGCUCAGAG